CAGCCGCCGCGGGAAUAUGGAGGGUGCAAGCGUUAAUCGGAAUUACUGGGCGUAAAGCGUGCGUAGGCGGUUCGUUAAGUCUGUUGUGAAAGCCCCGGGCUCAACCUGGGAAUGGCAAUGGAUACUGGCGAGCUAGAGUGUGUCAGAGGAUGGUGGAAUUCCCGGUGUAGCGGUGAAAUGCGUAGAAAUCGGGAGGAACAUCAGUGGCGAAGGCGGCCAUCUGGGACAACACUGACGCUGAGGCACGAAAGCGUGGGGAGCAAACAGGAUUAGAUACCCCAGUAGUCCCUGUCUCUUAUAC
rnacentral:rRNA from 1 species